CUUCUCCCGUGCUCCGUACCUUAUCCAAGCUACACUACCACAAUUCCAAUUGCAAGCCAUCUCAGCCAUUCAUCUUGCAUCCACGUCAUCCUUCCCACGCUCAUAUUUAAACUUCCCCUCGCGUCCGUGUCGUCUUCCACAUCGAGUUCAUCUUUAUCCCAUCUCCCAACCAACUCCGGCUCUCAUUUUGUUCUGAUCAUCCUUAUCCCAGCAUCCUCUCCCUUCGGAAUAAAGCCCCAGCUCAUCCCGCCUUCAUCCGUUCAGCAUCUAUCAACAAAUCCCAGCAUUCGGAUGAAUCCCUUGCAUCCUCUUCCCCUAUUCCGAAACAAAGGUAACAACCAUCCGUGAUUCAAGGCCCCUUCCAGAUUAUUUCCCAGCAUCUCCCCCCUACUCAAAUGAUCCAAACUCCAUGCUCCCCACGACCAAACUCCCAUCCACGUCAUUGUUCUUCCGAACUACUAGAUUUCCUCUCGUUCCAUCCACAGAUCUCCUCCCAAUUAAAUCCAAUCUCUCCCCUGUAUCACGUUCAUCCUUAUCCCACGAACAGAAUUCAUCCGCAGCCGUGAGCAUAGUCAACGUCGCAUCCCAAACCUCCUAGCUAUCAGCCGAAN
rnacentral:lncRNA from 1 species